rnacentral:rRNA from 1 species
UACGAGAGGCCCAAACGUUAUUCGGAUUUACUGGGCUUAAAGAGUUCGUAGGCGGCGCGGAAAGUAGGGUGUGAAAGCCCUCGGCUUAACCGAGGAAUUGCGCUCUAAACUACCGUGCUUGAGGAACCUAGAGGUGAGCAGAACUGAUGGUGGAGCGGUGAAAUGCGUUGAUAUCAUCAGGAAUACCGGAGGCGAAGGCGGCCUGCUGGGCAGUUGCUGACACUGAGGCGCGACAGCGUGGGGAGCAAACAGG